GCCCCGGGAAGGGACGGCCUGCAGGCGGCGCCAGUGCGCAUCAUUGGCUGCGAGGCUCUGGCUUGCAGACAGGGGGGGAGACUUGGAGUUGCAGAUUAUUGCAGACUAAGCAGUCUGGCUCUGCAACAGCAGCGGCACAAGCACCGGGAAGCCGGCCAGGCAGCACCCGGAUCGGCUCAUUAAUAGACAGCCGGCGGCGGGGAGAGGCUCUUCUUAGUAGUCCUCCCGUACAGCGGCAGCAUGCCCCCGGUGCGGCCACCUCUCUGCUAACUAUGUAUAAGUGAGGACUGAGCGGAGCCGUCUGCCUGUUGUUCUCCUUGUGGUCACGGCCACAAUGCAGCCUCCACACCGCUGCCAGGUUGUCAGAGUGGUAUGUCAACCACUUAUGACAAUCUGUGGUACUGGGGACACAUGUGAAACCACAUUGAUAGAUGGAAGAGUUCCUAAGGGGACUCUCCAUCUACCUAGAAGUGUCGACCACAAAGAGAACAACGCGGCAGACAGACUCCGGACUCCAGAAAAUGGUUGCGGACAUCAUUUCACUGAAAUUAAUUACCUCUUCCUUUUUUAAUUGUAUGUCUUCCAUGUGUAGUACAUUUGGUUUAUGGUCAUUGACACGCUCAUGAUGUCAUAUAUUGGGAACUGUUCCUGUGUAUAUCAUCAAGUGUAAGACUAUAUGGGACUCUGAGCCUUGCUUUAGAGAAUUACCACAGACAAAGUUGUACUAUUAACUCAGUUUUUACCAACUAGGUCAGGUGAAUCUUCACAAUUUGAAUCCAUGUUUACACACAGUGCAGGUGGGCCUUUUGGCCUGUUUCUACCACAGCAACGUCUUCCUCUUCUCAAGCACCUCCGUUCACAAUAAACCGGUAACUUAAAGCAUUCAAUUUCAGUAACAGUUUGCUACUUUUUUCACCUGUUGUUUACUCACUGUAGAGGUAGUCGCUUCAUGAGCUAAAAUGGCAUUCAUAAGAAAGUAACCUAAGUAUUUACUACAAACUAAUGGCAAUUCCUACAUGUUGGGUAUAUGAUACCUCCAUAGUAUUUUUAGUCCCUAUGAAUGGAUAGGCCGUAUUCUUGUGAAUGUUAGGCCUGGUUCACAUUGCCGUUGGACUCUGCUAUUCGGACUUCCGUUGGCAAUCCAACCAGAAGGACGAGAGUUUGGCGGUGAAAAAAAAUAGUGCAAGCACUAUUUUUUUUUUUUUUUUCUCUGCUAAAAUCCUAAAAAAUUACUGGGUCACCGACAGACCCCAUGCAAGUGAAUGGGGUCUGUCAUGACCCAGUAGUAGCUGUUUGCAUCUGACCCGUUUCAGGGUCUGAUUGGCUCAAGAAAACAAAACUUAACAGGUCGGAUGCAAACAGCGGUGUGAACCAAGCCUCAGUUUAACUCCGGAAAUGUCUGCCAUCACAGUGUGUAAGUGAUGGAUGCACUUUGACACUUAACUACCCUCUCUGAGGCUAAGAGUCCCCCUUAUAUCAUGUAUCUUGUUCACCUAGAUGUAGCAUACUCGCUUCCUUUAUUUUCAUUCAUUGUCUGUAUAUCUCUAUAUUUUAUCCAUGUACACUUUUUUAAUGUAUAGAAAUAGUUGUUUGAAACACAUUGUUUCCUUGUGGUAAGUGACAGAGAAGCUGCCACAGGAUUUGAGACACUGAUGAAUGGUGCUAUUUUGGACUUCUAAACAUGCUCCUUGGCAAGGUAGCUCUGACGGGAGUUUUCUUUUUUUCAUGUUCUAAGAAGGUGUUGGUAUUUUUUCCUGAUUGUUGUUCUAUAGGCAGGACUGACUCUCUUGUCUACAGUGUGGCUUUUGUAGGGUAAAUAACUGCUAACAGGGCAAGUCAGACAAGUAAAAAUUUUCUUUACUUUUCGUUUUUACAAUUCAGGGUAGAUACGCCAACAUUCAGCUAUUCUAGUAGGAGCAAUCACAAAACUGUAAUUUACCUAUUCUCGAUAAUCUAUGCCCCUCUCCUACAUUCGAUAACUGUAGCAAUAAUGUUUCACUAACCUUGUAGAAAUCUUUUUAUUUUUUUCUCUCUGUUUUAGAAGGAGUAUAUAAGAGAAAAGGGCAUGUUUUUGUAAAUGUCCUGGGUCUGUGGCAGGUAAUUUUAGGAACGAGGCAGCUAAUAAUUUUGCAUACUAUUUCUUUUUAUGUUGCGAAGUAAAAAAAAAAAUUACAGAUUUUUUUAUUGUUCUUGCUCUCAAGUGACAAAGUAAAACUACUCUUGAAAUGCUGUUGUGUUAGACACAAUCUGGAAGCCCACCUUAACACUUUUUUAAUGUUUUUUGUUUAUUAUAUAUACCACAGUCUUUAGCUCUUCCUUCACAGUGCGGACUAUACUCUGAGCUGUUGUAGCUUUUGACUGUUAUAGACAGUGCAUGCUUAGCCUAUGAUUUCUUUUUCUUGUAAUUUUUUUUCUUACGUUUUUUGAGUGUUCUAUUGUAUGAGUAGAAAGAUAUCAGCUGUGCUGUAUAUAAUAGAGCAAUUUAAUCAAUAUUAAGCAGUUGUGGCAUAUAUGUAUGGUUGCAGUUGUGUAUUGAUAAAAAAAAAAAAGGCAAGCUUUUGUAAUAAUGUGAUCUCUAAUAAUGCACUUCAAGUACCCAAUGUAUUUUAACAUUUUAGUAGAAUUUGUUCAAUAAACAUGCAAGCUCUAAUGGU